AGCGAACGCUGGCGGCAGGCUUAACACAUGCAAGUCGAGCGGUCCCUUCGGGGUCAGCGGCAGACGGGUGAGUAACACGUGGGAACGUACCCUUUGGUUCGGAAUAACGCUGGGAAACUAGCGCUAAUACCGGAUAAGCCCUGGUGGGGAGAUGCUUGCUGCCGGAGGAUCGGCCCGCGUCUGAUUAGCUAGGGGGUGGGGUAAUGGCCUACCAAGGCGACGAUCAGUAGCUGGUCUGAGAGGAUGAUCAGCCACACUGGGACUGAGACACGGCCCCGACUCCUACGGGAGGCAGCAGUGGGGAAUAUUGGACAAUGGGCGCAAGCCUGAUCCAGCCAUGCCGCGUGAGUGAUGAAGGCCUUAGGGUUGUAAAGCUCUUUUGUCCGGGACGAUAAUGACGGUACCGGAAGAAUAAGCCCCGGCUAACUUCGUG
rnacentral:rRNA from 1 species